AGUUUGUGUCAGCUGUGAUCCGACCCACACGCCUCCUGUUCCUGGAGGGGUGGGAGUUUGCAGCCAAUCGCCUUCUUAGCUGCAAGUACGAUGCGCGGCAGUCAAUGCUUGUCCCGGACUGUAGCGCCGGGGAACCACACGGUGAUGGAGGAGGUGAGGAUGGACUUGAUGAUGGCUGAGUAGAACUACGCCAGCAUCUCGGUUGGCACCUUCAGUUUCUUCAGCGGCCGCAGGAAGUACAUCCUCUGCUGGUCCUUCUUGAUGAGGGAGCUGAUGGUCGGCUCCCACUUGAGGUCCACAAUGGCGUUCAGCACCAGGUUGUUGAGGCUGCACCAGGACACCAGCCGGUCCACCUCUCUCCUGUAGGCGGACUCAUCGCCAUCCGAGAUGAGCCCGAUGACGGUAGUGUCGUCCGCGUUGACCAUUUACUUGGGACAUUUCUUCAUAGACCGGACAGUGAAAAACCGAAAAAAUAAAGAAAUACAAACAUA